rnacentral:misc_RNA from 1 species
AGAAUGAAUGCACUCAACCUC